rnacentral:lncRNA from 1 species
CGGCUGGCAGCAGCAGGAGGUGCCCGUCAAGGCGGACACGGUCAAGGUGGUCCAGGUGCAGCGGGAGCCGGAGAUCGCCGCCAGCACGGCCACGGGCGUGGCCCACCGGCCGCAGCGGGCGCAGAGCUUGGAGAGCAAGGAGCCCUACGCCAGCCUGCGGGCCCUGACGCUGGGCGAGCCGCCCCAGGCCGUGGUGGUGGAAACGGCCUUCCCCAUCCACGCCGCUGCGCCCCACGCCGCCCCCAUCCACGGCGUCAAGAAGAUCAGCAUCGCGGCUGAACCCGGCGGGGAGGAGACGGGCCCGGGCGGUGGAGCCUCCCCAGCCUCGGCUCAGGGGGGUGUCAGAUCUGGCACGAAGAGGCAGGAGGAGGCCCCAGAGCUGGUGGGCAAGAAAAGUCUCCAGUUUGUGGGCAUCAACGGCGGGUACGAGUCCACCUCCUCGGGUUCCAGCACGGCGGAGAACUCCUCCGACAACGAGAGCACAGAGAGCGAGUACCAUGAGGCCAGCGAGGGGCCCCCUGCGGGGCAGACGGAGACCCCCAGGCCCCCGGCGACGGCCCCCCAGAGAGUCCCUGCGGAGAGCGACACGGCGACGGCAGGGGAACCCCCCAGAGCGGCACCAGGGAGCGGCACUGGGUAACUCUACAGGGGUCUGCGCCUUCGUGCAAGGGGAGUGGGGUCUAGUGGCUAGAGCAGGGGAGUGG